AGGUGAAGAAGAUGGCCGUGAAAGCCACAAGGUCAUCCCCCUGAAGGGAAUGGCCUGCUCCAGAUGGGAAGUUUAUCUGCCUGGAUCCUGAAACGAAGACGACAUAUGGAUCAGGAACUGAGUCACUGACAGACUACAGCUGACUUACAACUUAAGUGCUUUCAACUGUUUUAAAACUCUACAAGGUGUGGGGCUGCAGAUCGGACCGGAUACUGGGGCUCGGCGUGGAUGGGUCUUUCAUCCAUUCGUCGGAUUCCCACAGGCUUGAUGGCAUCAGGCUCCACAGUGUCAGGCUGCUGCAGCUGGCUCAAGUCAUAGUCCUGCAAAAAGACAAAAUCAAAAACCGAUGGGAGAUGGGCACAAAGAUAGAAAAUUACAACCUCGCUUUUUAAGCACAUACUCAGAACACAUAGAAAUGAGGAAAAUUUAACAUAAUGGAAAAGUUGCCACUAUGAGUUUUUCAUGUUAUGAUUAAAUAUUUCUUUCA
rnacentral:lncRNA from 1 species